CAUUUAUCAUUAUCAAUCGGUGUAUCUCAAUGAGACGUGUCGAACGACUCUCGGAUACCGAUGUAUUGUUUCGCUAAAACAAGAAACCCGCUUGUUGCAAUCAUGUGUGCGAGAUAAAUUCCAAUUAUUACACCUACCGACUUUGCCGACAGUAGUUCCCUAUCACCUGCAGCUACUUCAGUAUCGUCGGUAACGUCGCGCGUACCUAACCUCAGUUUAGUCGACGGUAGGGAGAGUUACUGGUCGUUUGUUUUGAUUCGUACGCGACGCCGUGUAUUUAUUUUGAUCACGUUUAAACCGCAUGAGUGAUUUUAAAAUACGCGUCCGAAAAUCGUGACAACGUUACAACCGGUUGGAAUGCUCCACUGCUGUCGAUGUCGAACUCUCCGGCUUGAAAAACAAUGCGAACUAUUUUGACGAACGAAACCACUCUCACAUGUUUAGAGGAGGUUAUGGAUCGCAUAAAGGAGAGAAAUCGAGGCAAAAACGUGAAUUAUUGGACUACGAUGCAUCUUUAAAUCACGAUGAUAUUUUCACAAAACAUUUACACGCUGUGGAGAAAGUAUAAUAUUAGAUUACAGACUUUGUCCUUUGGUCCUUACAUGUGAAAUACCGACUUCCGGAUGCUGAUUCGAUAAAGGGUGGUACUGUGUGCAAGCAGCUGCGUUUUGAGAAAAUGCCUUCCAGGGGAGAUCUGUAUCACCCUAUAAACAUCGCUGCCCCGACGAGACGAGAUUUCGCUCUUGAAGCUCGUGGUACUCGAAGAAUUUCGUUCCCGGCUUUUGAGUCUCUCGCGCGCCUUUCCUCGCAUACCGUUGGCCGAUGCAGCCUCUAAAGAAGAGGAUUCAGGUCAACUGCAAACCCCGUCUACCGAGUCCGGAUUAGCAAAAGCUGUGGCACAGAAGCUAAUACCUCAAGUUCGGUCAAAGCUUCGCUAUUGACUUCAAGCAUACUGUUAACAUAGGAACCACUGCAUAGCAUCGAGAAAUCACGAGUUCUCACAGCUUAAGGCCCGAGGGUGCUUCUUGGCUGGGAGAGAGAGAGAGAGAGAGAGGGAGCGAGAGUCGUCGAAAAAAAAAAGUCAGGAUAAAUGGAUAAGAAGAGAACGGUAGGUAAAACGAAAAGAACGAGAGAAAGCGGCGCAGAAAGCAGCGCAGAAAGGACCGAAGACGGACGGCUCGCUCCUGAGUAAGAUUUACAAAGCUGAAGGGGAGAAAUAAAUGUUCGCCGCGCGACAAAUAGACCCGAAGCGGAGAUACUGUCACCCGGCGCAUUUUAAAAGGUACAUUAUACAGACAACCUAGAUUAUGUAUUACAACGUCGUUUUAAUAUAAUAAUACUCAACGCGGGGAAUUUCAACGUGGAAUUUUGAAUAUCUCGUUAAAUCUUAUUUUAUUAAAUAUUCUUUACGUAAAUAUAUACAAGCACAUACAGAUUGUAUACUUGAGAUGCAACGCUUUACCAUUAUCAAUAGAUAAGCUAGAUAAUCUAAUUAAUAAUCGUGUACAUCUAUAAUCUUGACCUUUUUUUGGAAAGAAGAAAAAAAUGAUUUAUCAAUAUCAACGGUUUGAACGCAAUUUCUUUGAAUAUGUAAUGAAAUCUGAAGUAUUAUAUGGUAAUAAAAAAAAAAAAAAAUAUUGAAA